GACAGAGGAUGCAAACGUUGCUCGGAAUUACUGGGCGUAAAGCGCGUGUAGGCGGUUUCGCGAGUCGGGUGUGAAAGCCCGGGGCUCAACCCCGGAAGUGCACUCGAUACUACGGAGCUGGAGUACUGAAGAGGAGAGCGGAAUUCCCGGUGUAGAGGUGAAAUUCGUAGAUAUCGGGAGGAACACCAGUGGCGAAGGCGGCUCUCUGGGCAGAUACUGACGCUGAGACGCGAAAGCGUGGGGAGCAAACAGG
rnacentral:rRNA from 1 species